rnacentral:snRNA from 1 species
GGAUGUGAGGGUGAUCUGGCUGCAACAUCUGUCACCCAUUGGUCACCAGGGUUGAUUUGGCUGAUCUGGCUGGCUAAGUGGGUGUCCCUUUCCUCCCUCAAUGCUCCAUAUGUGUCCCUCCCAAACCUGUCCCUCCUUGUGCUCUGGUCGGUUGAAGAGGAUGACCACCCGGAUAGAGGAGGACUGUUCCUUAGUCAAGGGUAUAUGACUAGCUGUGCUCCUCCACUAGAACCUCCAAACAAGCUGUCAAAGAUGCAGGGGAGAGCCCAGAAGUUUGGAGAAGACAGGAACGUGGAUUGUCU